UACGAAGGUGGCAAGCGUUGUUCGGAUUUACUGGGCGUACAGGGAGCGUAGGUGGUCGUGUAAGCCCUCCGGGAAAUCUUCGGGCUUAACCCGGAAAGGUCGGAGGGGACUGCACGGCUAGAGGACGGGAGAGGAGCGCGGAAUUCCCGGUGUAGCGGUGAAAUGCGUAGAGAUCGGGAGGAAGGCCGGUGGCGAAGGCGGCGCUCUGGAACGUUCCUGACACUGAGGCUCGAAAGCGUGGGGAGCAAACAGG
rnacentral:rRNA from 1 species